rnacentral:lncRNA from 1 species
GAAAAAUUGGAUAUGUGGGACUCAAUUGAAUCUGGAUCCUCCAAGAUGUUCAUAAUAUGGGUAGACAAGUGGAAACAGUAGCCAAGCCUGAAGAAAAGAAACUGCUAUCCCUCACCAUUCAUCACCUUAGGAAGACAGACACCAAAUAUUGCUUGGGGGAAAUUCCACAGCAACCACCCCAUCUCCACCCAAGUAUAGGUCAGACAACAGGUCAACUGACUGCACACAAGUUGCUGCUUCUUGGUCAAUUGCUCUCUUUGAUAAUGUGGGUACUUUUUCCCAGAAGUUAAGAUGAACGGUAAAUAUGACUUCUGUUU